rnacentral:lncRNA from 1 species
GCAAAGCUUCUUCAUAACAAAGGCUUUCACAUUACCUUUGUCCACACUGAGUUCACUUACAAACGUAUACUUAAAUCUCGAGGUUCUGACUUGCUCAAGGGUUUACCUGAUUUCAUAUUCAAAACUAUCCCUGAUGGUCUCCCUAGUUCUGAUGAUCAGAUCACCCAAGACCAUGGAGCUCUUUGUGAUUCAAUUGACAAGAACUGCUUGGUACCCUUUCGAGAUCUCGUAAAUGAGCUCAACAACAAUUGUAAUGUACCUCCAGUAUCAUGUAUAGUUGCUGAUGGAAUCAUGAGUUUCACUUUAGAUGUCGCUCAAGAACUUUGUAUCCCAGAAGUCUUGUUUUGGACUACUAGUGCAGCUGGAUUCAUGGGCUAUCUUCAGACUCCUCAGCUUAUCCAAGAUGAUCUUUUACCAAUUAAAGGUAUAUAUCUAUGGUCUAUAUAUAAUUGUUCUUAUUAUAUAUUGAAAUUUGUUGAUGAAAUGGAAUUAUAUAUAUAUAUAUAUAUAUAUAUAUAUUGCAUUAAAACUGCUUAAUAACUGUCGCUUUUCUAUAUAUGUAUAGAUCUGAGCUACGUUACAAAUGGGUAUCUUGAGAAAACGAUUGAUUGGGUACCUGGAAUUGAAGAUAUUCGUCUUAAAGAUCUACCAAGUUUCUUCCUUCGAAUAACAGAUCGAAACCAUAUCUCGUUUACGUACAAUCUUAAACAAGUUGAAAAAUCUUCGAAGGCGUCUGCCAUUGUUUUAAAUACUUUUGACGAGUUGGAGCAUGAUGUUUUAAAUGCAAUAAAACCAAAAUUGCCACCAAUUUACACUAUAGGAUUUUUGCACUUGCUGGAUAACAAAAUAUCAGAUAGCAGAUUGGAUUCCAUUGAUUCAAAUUUAUGGAAAGAAGAUUUGGACUGUCUCAAAUGGCUCGAUUCAAAAAAAGAGAACUCGGUUCUUUACAUAAAUUUUGGUAGCAUCACUGUCAUGACACUUCAACAAAUGAUUGAAUUCGCUUGGGGAAUUGCUAACAGCAAGAAAACAUUCUUUUGGAUCAUUAGGCCAAACCUUGUGUCUGGUGACUCGGCAAUUCUCCCACCUGAGUUCAUAAUGGAAACAAAAGAAAGAGGUCUAUUGGCAAGUUGGUGUCCACAAGAACAAGUACUCAGUCACCCUUCUGUAGGUGGUUUCUUGACCCACAGCGGGUGGAAUUCUACGACCGAAAGCAUAUCAAGUGGUGUGCCGAUGAUAUGUUGGCCUUUCUGUGGUGAUCAACAAAUGAAUAGCACCUACUCAUGUCGCCACUGGAGUAUAGGCAUGGAGAUUGAUAAAAAUGUGAAGAGAGAGGAAGUGGAGAGUGUUGUAAGAGAGUUAAUGGAAGGAAAGAAAGGUAUGGAAAUGAAGCUGCAAGCAAUUGAAUGGAAACAGAAAGCUAAAGAGGCUGUUGCACCUGGAGGAUCAUCAUCCCAGAACAUAGACAAGCUUAUCAAGGAAAUUCUAUUGUAGUAUAUUUAUUAAUUUGUAUUUCUGUUUGUUUAAAUAAUUUGCUAGGUUCGCGGAGGGGAAACUUUUAACUAAUACGUACUUCCCAGCUUUAAGGCUAACCUAUUCUGGAUAUUCUAUGUAAUAUUUUUUGAUUUUGUAUUUUUUGUUUUGGCCACCACUCAUAGAGUUUGCAAAUAGACUUCGAGGCAAAUUACCUUCAAGAUACAACAAAGCAAUGAAAUUAGCGGUUAGCAAUAACCGAUAAUUUUUUCUAGAACACUGAAAGAUAUUGAUUAUAAUAAGAAGGAAGAGAAAGAACUAAAAAAUAUUGAGAUUGAAUUAUUUUUGUGGCAUUCAGAUAAUUUUUUCUAGAACACUUAAAGAAUAUUGAUUAUAAUAAGAAGGAAGAGAAAGAACUAAAAAAUAUUGAGAUUGAAUUAUUUUUGUGGCAUUCAGAUAAUUUUUUCUAGAACACUUAAAGAAUAUUGAUUAUAAUAAGAAGGAAGAGAAAGAACUAAAAAAUAUUGAGAUUGAAUUAUUUUUGUGGCAUUCACAACAUACAUAUUUAUAGUUGAAUUGAUGAUCAUAUGUGUCUCCGACGAAUUAGACAUUAAUAUUACAUUAUAUUGAAAACAUUGUUUCAAGCAGAGAAAUGAUAAUUAUAAUAUGAGAUUUUGGCACUUACCCCCAUUUGAAAGUUGAAAUUUGCGUUACCCCCAAUUUGAAAAAAUAUAGCAGUUAACCCCCCAAUUGGACGGAAAAAUGAGAUGACGUUACAAAAAUCAAAUUUUGAAUUUUCGUAAAAUAAAAUAUUUUAAUAAUACCAAAAAUACCUUUUUUUAAACACGUAAAUAAUAAACAUAAUUAGUAAAACCCCCCAUUGAAACAUACAUAAUUAACAAUACCCCAAAUCGAUUUGCAAAAAAAAUUGAAAGAGAAAGAUGAAUUUUUAAGAAAGAAGAUGAAAUUUGUUUGAGAAAUUUGUUAAGAAUAAUAGUAGAUAAAUGUUUCCCUCAAUCACCCAUAUUUUCUUACCUAAUUUCGCAAACAAAUUUCACUUCUUUCCUCAAAAUAUUUCAAUAGGGGGUAUUACUACUUAGGGUCUGUUUGAUUCGGGCGGGAAAUCAAUUUACCGGGAAAAAGAUUUACCAUAUGCAAAUAUUCGGAAAAUAAAAUUUUCAUAAAAUGAUUAUAGUACUAUAUUUAUCAUGAAAAUCAUUGGAAAAUGUUGUGAAUAUGAUUUUAGUGAGAGUUCAUAAAGAUUCAGCGACAAUAUGUCCCAACAUUUUUACAAAUCAUUUCAUUUUCAAAAUUUACCGUUUAUUUUCCAUGUAAUCAAACAUGGGAAAUUGAGAUUUCCCGGUAAAUCUAUUUCCCGGCCUCGAAUCAAACAGACCCUUAUAUAUGUUUCAGUGGGGGUAUUACUAUUAACUAAUAUAUGUUUCAAAAACAGAAGAGUAGUUUUGGUAUUGUGAAAAUAUUUUAUAUAAAAAGGAAUCAAAAAUUGAUUUUCGUUGUCUCUUUUUUCCGUCUAAUGAGGGGAACUGCUAUGCUAUUAUAUCACUGACAAGUGACAAAUGACAAUGCAGAGAAGACAAAGCAUGCAGAGUUGGCAAUGAAUCAAAACCAUAUAUCUUCAUUUUGUUUUUGAGUUCAUCAUACAUGCAUGCUGACAUCUUAAUUAAUAAAUUUCAUCUACCAACUGCAUUUGAUUUAAGUUCAUCACCACUCAAAAAAGAGAUGCUGGCAGGGGGGGGGGGGGGUUUAAGUGCCAAAAUCUCUAAGUACCAUUUCAGAUCACCCAUGUGUUUGGCAAAGUACCAUGUCAGAUCACCCAUGUAUUUGGCAACAUAUCUGGUACAAAUAAUUGAGAGAAAAAACAAAAUUUAUUUAGAGCCAUUAUGCCAUUAUAUCACUGACAAGUGACAAAUGACAAUGCAGAGAAGACAAAGCAUGCAGAGUUGGCAAUGAAUCAAAACCAUAUAUCUUCAUUUUGUUUUUGAGUUCAUCAUACAUGCAUGUUGACAUCUUAAUUAAUAAAUUUCAUCUACCAACUGCAUUUGAUUUAAGUUCAUUACCACUCAAAAAAGAGAUGGUGGCUUCUCCUUUGGCAACAACCAACAACAAACCCCAUGCAGUUUGCAUAGAAUUUGAAUUUGUUCUACAUUUUUUAAGAGUGAAACAACACUCUCUACCAGAUUUGCCACGUACUACUAAUUUUUUUUAAAAUUUAACUGGUUCCACUAGAGUUAACAGUAUUCAUCUAACUGUUUUAGUUUUUUAAUUAAUUUUACUUAAUAUUGAAAGAAAAAAAUCAAAAUCAAAAUUUUUAUUUUUUUAUAUAGCCACGUGGCAAGAUCUAGGGGAAAGUAUUGUUCCGCACGCACUCUUAAAGAGUGUGGAACAAAUUCGCACUCAUUUGCAUACCAUACCCUGCCCUUUGCCACAUAAACCCUUUGCUCAAAAUAGCAAAGCUUUUUCAUAACAAAGGCUUUCACAUUACCUUUGUUCACACUGAGUACAACUACAAACGUAUGCUCAAAUCUCGAGGUUCAGACUCGCUCAAGGGAUUACCUGAUUUCCAAUUCAAAAGUAUUCCUGAUCGAUGGUCUUCCACCUUCUGAUGUAGCUGAGGUCACCCAAGACCUUGCAGCUCUUUGUGAUUCAAUGGACAAGAAAUGCUUGGUACCCUUUCG